UGGAGUCAGGGUGGAUGAGGCUGGGAUAUCUACAUGCUUGGUGGGGAGUCGGAAUCAGGGUGGAUGAGGCUGGGAUAUCUACAUGGUUGGUGGGGAGUCGGAAUCAGGGUGGAUGAGGCUGGGAUAUCUACAUGGUUGGUGGGGAGUCGGAAUCAGGGUGGAUGAGGCUGGGAUAUCGACAUGCUUGGUGGGGAGUCGGAAUCAGGGUGGAUGAGGCUGGGAUAUCUACAUGCUUGGUGGGGAGUUGGAGUCAGGGUGGAUGAGGCUGGGAUAUCGACAUGCUUGGUGGGGAGGAGGAGCCAAGGUGGAUGAGGCUGGGAUAUCUACAUGGUUGGUGGGGAGGAGGAGCCAAGGUGGAUGAGGCUGGGAUAUCGACAUGCUUGGUGGGGAGGAG
rnacentral:lncRNA from 1 species